rnacentral:tRNA from 1 species
GGAUGUGUAGCUCAAUUGGUAGAGCGCUAAGACGUCGCUCACACCUUGCCCGGCUGGUCCGGGCCGAAGAGGGAUGGUUAUCGAUCAUUACUCGAGAGGUUGGCGGUUCGAGUCCGCCCGCAUCCACCA